ensembl:lncRNA
GGGGGUUGAGGUAGAACGGUCAUGACAAAGGGGAUGAGGUAAAAUAGUUAUGACGGAGAGGUUGAGGCAGAAAGAUUACGACAGAAGAGUGAGGUAGGAUGGUUGUGGAAUAUGUAGGAGUUAGUAUUCAUUGUACCUUGUGGUACUAGUCAGUCAAAGAAACACAUGACAAAAACAAAGAGGCAGUCACCCUUUUGGUCUCUUUAUUAAAUGUUAUAUUAAAUACUUAUCAAGAUAAUAGCAGUUCAGAUUAAUCAAUGAAUGGCAAAAAAAUACCUAACAAGUUGGUGUAUUUGCUACUCAUGAGAACAACAUUCGUGGAAGGGUUGAAUUGGCAGGGCGACAGACAUGGAAUACAACAUACUGUGCAAACGGACAAACUCAGUCUCCUGUCGAUCCUGUCAGGCAAUCACCAGUUCCUGGGAAGUAACAGCUUGGCUUAACUUCAGCCUCCAUUUAGGAACAGAAACAGAACAGCUUUAGUGGGGUACAGGUGUCUGGGUGACAGCCUGGGAUAUGUCCGUCUCUUAUUCUUCAGAAAUUAUUAGAUUUUAAUGUUGGAUAUGUUCAGGCAGAUCUCUCCGUUCUCAAUCAGUUUUGUACCAUUUGGGGCACAAUGAACACCGUCCUGGUAAUCUUUCCCAGCAGCAGGUUGUAACUGCUGAGCUUGGCUCUGGAGGAGAAGUGGUCACUAAUCUCAUGAAUGUACAGAACCAAAACACUUCUGAAAAGGGUCAGUUACUAAAUGUAUAUAGUCCUCUGUGGCUCAUUUUAUCCCAGAAGUUGCAACAGCAGACAUUGUUGUUCGAUCCCCCAACACCUCCUGACCAAACAUCCUGCCUUUCUCUACCAGACCACUACCCAGACAUUCAGUCAGAAUUGGACCAAAAUGAAACAAGUGGAAAAGAAACAAAGCGAUGGACAGGACCCGCAGACACAGCUAUGCUAGGCAACAACUUGACAACAAGAAUGUGAGCUUUACAGAGAGAGAGAGAGAGACAGA